ACGUAUGGUGCAAGCGUUAUCCGGAUUUACUGGGUGUAAAGGGAGCGCAGGCGGUACGGCAAGUCUGAUGUGAAAGCCCGGGGCUCAACCCCGGUACUGCAUUGGAAACUGUCGGACUAGAGUGUCGGAGGGGUAAGUGGAAUUCCUAGUGUAGCGGUGAAAUGCGUAGAUAUUAGGAGGAACACCAGUGGCGAAGGCGGCUUACUGGACGAUUACUGACGCUGAGGCUCGAAAGCGUGGGGAGCAAACAG
rnacentral:rRNA from 1 species